ensembl:ncRNA lncRNA:CR45299 long non-coding RNA:CR45299
ACAUACAUCUGAAUUAUGCAACGCCUGAUGUUAAUUUCUGUAAGCUAAUUUAUCACUAAGCAAACACAACAAUGGCGGAGUCCGUUCAGCGGCAAAGUAAGCCACGCCAAUGCACAAAAACUUGUCCCUACGUAUACGUAAUGCAAGUAAUUGCGUAUACGCCGCAUGUAACACAUGAACGGUGGACAGUCACGAUGAAAGUUGGCUGAUAAGCCUCCCAAUCAAAAGCAAAACAAUUAGAUGCGAUGCCCACUCCAUCCCUCACAAACGGCCAAGGACUCGUGCAGCCCGACACAUCCUCUUAACGUGGCCAAGUAGACUCAUUUCCAACAACGCGACAUGCGCCGGCGAAGUGUGCGAUAUCCUGGAGGGUCGCGUGUUUGAAAUGCUGGCUGCGUGCUGGCAACGUGUGCGAAUCCUUCUAUUGAAGCGGCGCAUU